UGGAAUGUAAGGAAGUGUGUGGU
rnacentral:ncRNA from 4 species